rnacentral:tRNA from 1 species
GGGUCGGUACCGAAGCGGUCAACCGGGGCAGACUGUAAAUCUGCUGGCUCAGCCUUCGUAGGUUCGAAUCCUACCCGGCCCA